CAGCCGCCGCGGUAAUACAGAGGGUGCGAGCGUUAAUCGGAUUUACUGGGCGUAAAGCGUGCGUAGGCGGCUAAUUGAGUCGGAUGUGAAGUCCCCGAGCUUAACUUGGGAAUUGCAUUCGAUACUGGGAAGCUAGAGUAUGGGAGAGGAUGGUAGAAUUCCAGGUGUAGCGGUGAAAUGCGUAGAGAUCUGGAGGAAUACCGAUGGCGAAGGCAGCCAUCUGGCCUAAUACUGACGCUGAGGUACGAAAGCAUGGGGAGCAAACAGGAUUAGAUACCCCAGUAGUCCCUGUCUCUUAUAC
rnacentral:rRNA from 1 species